rnacentral:rRNA from 1 species
CCUACGGGAGGCAGCAGCAAGGAAUUUUGCGCAAUGGGCGAAAGCCUGACGCAGCAACGCCGCGUGGGGGAUGAAGGCCUUCGGGUUGUAAACCCCUUUUGCGAGGGAAGAAGAUCUGACGGUACCUCGCGAAUAAGCCACGGCUAACUACGUGCCAGCAGCCGCGGUAAUACGUAGGUGGCAAGCGUUGUCCGGAUUUACUGGGCGUAAAGCGCGCGCAGGCGGAUUGGUCAGUCUGGGGUGAAAUCUCACGGCUCAACUGUGAGCGGUCCCUGGAUACUGCCAGUCUUGAGGGGUCUAGAGGAGAGCGGAAUUCCCGGUGUAGUGGUGGAAUGCGUAGAUAUCGGGAAGAACACCAGUGGCGAAAGCGGCUCUCUGGGGAUCACCUGACGCUGAGGCGCGAAAGCGUGGGGAGCGAACCGGAUUAGAUACCCGGGUAGUCCACGCCGUAAACGAUGAGUACUAGCUGUCGGGGGUAUCGACCCCUCCGGUAGCGCAGCUAACGCGUUAAGUACUCCGCCUGGGGACUACGGCCGCAGUUUCCAAACUCAAAGGAAUGCCGG